GUCCUAGCUGUAAACGAUGAGUACUAGGUGUUGGAGGUAUUGACCCCUUCAGUGCCGAAGCUAACGCAUUAAGUACUCCGCCUGGGAACUACGAUCGCAAGAUUGAAACUCAAAGAAAUUGACGGGGGCCCGCACAAGCGGUGGAGCAUGUUGUUUAAUUCGAUGCAACGCGAAAACCUUACCUAAAUUUGACAUGGUGUGACAUUCGUAUGAAAGUACGACUUCCCGCAAGGGACACACACACAGGUGCUGCAUGGCUGUCGU
rnacentral:rRNA from 1 species